UACAGAGGUCCCAAGCGUUGUUCGGAUUCAUUGGGCGUAAAGGGUGCGUAGGUGGCGGGGUAAGUCAGGUGUGAAAUCUCGGGGCUCAACCCCGAAACUGCACUUGAUACUGCCUUGCUUGAGUACUGGAGAGGAGAUUGGAAUUUACGGUGUAGCAGUGAAAUGCGUAGAUAUCGUAAGGAAGACCAGUGGCGAAGGCGAAUCUCUGGACAGUUACUGACACUGAGGCACGAAGGCCAGGGGAGCAAACGGG
rnacentral:rRNA from 1 species